rnacentral:lncRNA from 1 species
AUACGACCCAAAUUCAAUUCCAGAAGAACGACAGUCAAAAUCAAAACAAGGUCGCAAAUCAGAAUCUUAUUGGAAUAAUUGAGAAGAUUAAUUAAGAUAACGACUAAUUAAAUAUUGAAAAUUCAAGCUAACAACGAAUCAAAAACAACUUAAAAUUUAAACAAAAGACUAACACUGGCCAGAUGAAUUAACCAAUCAAUUAGAACAAUUAAAAUAUGAACGCAGGUUUUAAUCUAGAAACUAAACUCACUCGACUGAACUACACAAAAUGACGAAACAAAUUGAAAGCUAAAGAAGGAAGAACUUACUGAAUUCAGACCUUGAAUAAAAAAACCUUCGAAAUUAACUUCGAGUUAAUGUUAGAGGCUCAUCUUACAGGAAAUAAACUCAUAACGUUAACCUGAGUUAACUCGUCUUUGAAAAUCUUCGAAACAACCUUAAACUGGGUGAAACCUAGCUCAGCAGUUCGUCCAGUUUACUAAGACUCGAGGGAUUCUGGGCAGACAUUUGUGAUGAGGAAAGGAAGACGUCCAUCUGGUGUGAUUUUGGGCUCAAUGGGGCUAACUAGUGACUUGGUCGGAAAACCUUCGAUGGGAUAUUCGACGAGGUUGGCUUUGAUUUGAAGGAAUCCAUCGUGGGGUUCGGGAAGAGGAGAAUAAGGAGCUUCUAUGGUGUUAAUUGUGGGUUGAUUGGCGUAUGUGGCGUUUCUCGGCAGUGAGUUCUCCAGUGGAGUUGCAGAGGGAGAUACGAGGAGGAUGAAG